CGACUUGGGGGACAAAGAGGGGUGGGCCUGUCUUAAAUCCAGUGUCAGCUAACGCCUCAUCCCACGGCUUACCUAGCUCAAACCCGCCCUGGCCAGGUGGUCUCUCCUGGGCCUGACAGCCCAAAAGUUGGGUGUGGGGUGGCACCUUCAAGCGUAUUGUCUUGCUGUUGAUCCCCGUGCAGAUGAGGCUCUACAGUUCGCUGGCCGACAGCCUGCAUGUCUGCCUCCAGGGCAGUGCCAGGGCCCAGCCCGCAGACGUUUGUAUUUGAGCAGGCUGUGAUAAAGCCCACCUCGAUGUCACCUCCCUUCCAAGGCCUGAUGAAGUGAUUAGGCUCCACCCUGGAUUCCAGUAGCUUUCUCUGCCUCCCUCCCCAGCAACUGUUCUUCAGGACUUGGGGCUCAGAGCACUUUCUGCAAGCCCUCUCCUGGCACCUUGGGUUUUGCCAUACUUAAUCUGCACAACUGCUUCAGGAAGUAUGGAUUGUUUUUAUCCCCAGACAAUAGAACAAUAGGAGUUGUCGGGGCAGCUCCACAGGAACUUGCCCUGUGCAUCCUGGCUGCUCCCCAACCCUUUCCCCUCUCUUCUUUCCCCCUCCUUCCCUGGGGAGGUGGUCAGGACCAAGCAGAGACACUGCAGGCCUGAACCCUGUUGGGCCAUGCCCAGCUUUCUGGACCUGACCAGGGGGCUAACAAAGUGAAAGCAGGAGGGUCUACCACCGUCAGACAGCUUAGAGGCAGGACAGUCUCUGGGCUCCACAUUCUUGACCUUCAUCCCAAGGCCGCAGAGUGAACGCCUACCGCAGGAGGGAGCCCAGGACGGAGCCCAGGAGGUCUCAGGAAGGGGCUUGGGAGCUGGCUGGGGCUCACACCCAAGGACAGGCUCACUGCUGAUAGCUGUUAUCAGUUUUACCCAGGGGUGGCCUCUGGGGAAGAUUCUUUUGGAAAAAAACUGGUUCAAAUACAGACUCUGCCCCCUUCUCUUGGGCUACUUGC